GUCCAUGCCGUAAACGUUGGGCACUAGAUGUGGGGAACAUUCCACGUUUUCCGCGUCGUAGCUAACGCAUUAAGUGCCCCGCCUGGGGAGUACGGCCGCAAGGCUAAAACUCAAAGGAAUUGACGGGGCCCGCACAAGCGGCGGAGCAUGCGGAUUAAUUCGAUGCAACGCGAAGAACCUUACCAAGGCUUGACAUACACCGGACGCAUGUAGAGAUAUGUGUUCCUCUUUGAGGUCGGUGUACAGGUGGUGCAUGGUUGUCGU
rnacentral:rRNA from 1 species